UACGUAGGGUGCAAGCGUUGUCCGGAAUUAUUGGGCGUAAAGAGCUCGUAGGCGGUCUGUCACGUCUGCUGUGAAAACCCGGGGCUCAACCCCGGGCCUGCAUUCGAUACGGGCAGACUAGAGUUCGGUAGGGGAGUCUGGAAUUCCUGGUGUAGCGGUGAAAUGCGCAGAUAUCAGGAGGAACACCGGUGGCGAAGGCGGGACUCUGGGCCGAUACUGACGCUGAGGAGCGAAAGCGUGGGGAGCAAACAGG
rnacentral:rRNA from 1 species